CCCCCCUGGAUCCGCCCUUGCUUUCAGCAUGCACAAGAGGUAGCUGAUUCAAUAAUUUAACUAAUAUUGCAGUCAACUCCAAACUCUUUGAUCUCCCUGCCAAAAAGUCCCACUGUUCCACCCGACUCACAUAUUCCUGCAAAUAUUAGUUUCUAAGUGGCGCAUUCGAGUUUUGAUUGAAGCCAGCAACAGGAGCCUCUCUUAAGCAACGCAAAAUUACCUAGAAUUAAGCUGUCUUUCACUGUAGCGUAAACGUGCUUUAGGAAGUAGAUGCCAGAACUAACCUAACCUAAGAUCGAUAAUAUGUCUUUUAGAUUAAUGAUUGUGGUGGAGUGAUGAACUUCCUUCAUCCAGCCGGUUGAUGAAACUCGACUUUUCCUCAUUGGUAAACUAGGCCCUUGACAACUGUCCCAGGCCGAGGACAGAGUGUUUUUUGUAUAGCUGUUAACUAUGCGUAUAUUUUGAAUAUAUUAAUAUAAAUAGUUUGUAGUAGAAGUAUCAGCUCAGAACGCGGUUUUUAGAGGGCAUUUUGGGGCGAAAUUCAGAGCUAGUUAAUGACCGACCCUGGUAUUUUGUCGGUUUGCAGGGCGAUCGGGUGUUGUCGGAAGCCCUCGCUCUGGAACACUUGCUACAGGGGGUGCGCAACUAGUUCGACUAUGCCCUCUUGAAACAGUUAGAUCGUUAUGUAUAUGGAACAUUAUAAAUAGUUACAAGAUACCAUGCCUGUGAUAAUAUAUUACAUAAAAGUAGA
rnacentral:lncRNA from 1 species